rnacentral:rRNA from 1 species
CCUGCCAGUAGUUAUAUGCUUGUCUCAAAGAUUAAGCCAUGCAUGUCUAAGUACACACGAAUUAAAAGUGAAACCGCAAAAGGCUCAUUAUAUCAGUUAUGGUUCCUUAGAUCGUUAACAGUUACUUGGAUAACUGUGGUAAUUCUAGAGCUAAUACAUGCAAUUAAAACAUGAACCUUAUGGGACAUGUGCUUUUAUUAGGCUAAAACCAAGCGAUCGCAAGAUCGUUAUAUUGGUUGAACUCUAGAUAACAUGCAGAUCGUAUGGUCUUGUACCGACGACAGAUCUUUCAAAUGUCUGCCCUAUCAACUUUUGAUGGUAGUAUCUAGGACUACCAUGGUUGCAACGGGUAACGGGGAAUCAGGGUUCGAUUCCGGAGAGGGAGCCUGAGAAACGGCUACCACAUCUAAGGAAGGCAGCAGGCGCGUAAAUUACCCACUCCCAGCUCGGGGAGGUAGUGACGAAAAAUAACAAUACAGGACUCAUAUCCGAGGCCCUGUAAUUGGAAUGAGUACACUUUAAAUCCUUUAACAAGGACCAAUUGGAGGGCAAGUCUGGUGCCAGCAGCCGCGGUAAUUCCAGCUCCAAUAGCGUAUAUUAAAGUUGUUGCGGUUAAAACGUUCGUAGUUGAACUUGUGCUUCAUACGGGUAGUACAACUUACAAUUGUGGUUAGUACUAUACCUUUAUGUAUGUAAGCGUAUUACCGGUGGAGUUCUUAUAUGUGAUUAAAUACUUGUAUCUUUUCAUAUGUUCCUCCUAUUUAAAAACCUGCAUUAGUGCUCUUAAACGAGUGUUAUUGUGGGCCGGUACUAUUACUUUGAACAAAUUAGAGUGCUUAAAGCAGGCUUCAAAUGCCUGAAUAUUCUGUGCAUGGGAUAAUGAAAUAAGACCUCUGUUCUGCUUUCAUUGGUUUUCAGAUCAAGAGGUAAUGAUUAAUAGAAGCAGUUUGGGGGCAUUAGUAUUACGACGCGAGAGGUGAAAUUCUUGGACCGUCGUAAGACUAACUUAAGCGAAAGCAUUUGCCAAAGAUGUUUUCAUUAAUCAAGAACGAAAGUUAGAGGUUCGAAGGCGAUCAGAUACCGCCCUAGUUCUAACCAUAAACGAUGCCAGCUAGCAAUUGGGUGUAGCUACUUUUAUGGCUCUCUCAGUCGCUUCCCGGGAAACCAAAGCUUUUGGGCUCCGGGGGAAGUAUGGUUGCAAAGCUGAAACUUAAAGGAAUUGACGGAAGGGCACCACCAGGAGUGGAGCCUGCGGCUUAAUUUGACUCAACACGGGAAAACUUACCA